AACCUAGAGAGGGUUAUUUCAGCUUUACUUGACAUAGGUUUUUUUUGUUUUGUUUUUCCAGUAAGAAGGUUGUCUGUGACAUUCUGAGAGUAACAUCUAGAGUUUGGAAGCAGUCCAGAGAAGAGCAAAUGCAGUUUUCAAUAGUUUAGAAAACCAGGCCUUCAACAAAGAGUGGACAUAAAGGAAUUGUUUAAGUUGGAAGCCAGAGGGACUUACACGCCACAUUGCAAAGCAUCUCUUGAAAACGAAUCGUGUUAAAGGAGAAAUGUCACCAGCCUUGCCCAGUUCCGGGGGAGUGUUGGAAAGCCCGGGUCUCACGCUCUUAGUGGACAGCACAUAACAGGCUCUGAACUCACAGGGAAAUGGUACUGACUCUGUUGUUGCCUCUAACGUGAACAAAAGGUCUCUAAACAUUGCCCUGCACACGAAGACUCCUGGAGGCUUGAGAGUGUUUGGAUAAGGAGUGAAAUGAUCCAGCUGAUAAAUACUACUUUUCACCUCAACUGCUGAGCUGGUGUUUGUUCGAGGUCUUAUACAGUAAACAGCCUAGGUAGUCUGUUCCUCCCAGUUUGGCUUUUACAGUAAAAUGGAACCUACUAUUUUGUGGCAGGUAAUUAUUAUUCCUUUGUUUUACAUAGCUAAGCAGGGUGUGUAUGCUUGUUCUUACAAAGUAAAAUAUAAAAGGUAUUUUGAAAUUAAGAUCUAGAAAAAUUAAAUAUUUUCAUUUACAAAAAAAGGAACCACCAGUCCAAGCGCUGUGUGCCUGGAGCAUAGAUUUUUUUUUUCCUGGUUAGCCAUGACUAGUCACAUUACCAGGCUUCUUGUGCUACUAUCAACCAUUGCUGAAAACCUUUAGGUGGUACAAACCCUUGUCUGAUUGGCUUCAUCUGCUGUCCAUCUCCAGCCUCAUCCGUGCAUCCAUGUGUUAAAAUACAGAUUAUGAAAUACCUGUGUACCAGCCCUAUAUAGAACCUCUGUGUCUUAAUUUCUGGUGCACUUUCCUUACCUGCAUGGUGGACAAGCAUGACCAGUUAUUAAAUUAGUGUCUGUUUCCUGUACUGCCAGAAGCCAAUAAGGAAGGGGCAGAAACCUUAAGAACUGUUUUGCCUUGACCCUCAUCUCUGUGGCAGACUCCAAGAGUCUUAAACUGGGUUGUUCCCUGAGCUGGCUCUUGGCCAUCACGAUGGGGGCUUCUGAAUUUGUUCUGAGCUCUCUUGGAGCUGUGCUACCAAAAGAACGUGGACACAUAACAACACUUCUUGGGUGCCAGGGCCAAUCCCAGUGCCUCCUAUGUAGUGAUCUAUGUCAUCUUCCCACUUGGCCUGGGAGUUUGUCACUCUGUAGUCACACUUUUCAGAUUAUCAGGGUCCUAGAGAUACAGGUCUCACUGCCAGGACCACACAGUAGGCAGGUGCCUGAGCUCGCUCUUGGACCAGGUAAGUCAGCAGCCAAGCCCGCUACUGAUACAAUGCACAGCAAUGCUUCCCAUCGCAUGGACGCAGGACUGCAGGAAGAGCAUCUGGAAUAUGCCGUGACAGAUUCUAAUUACUUGUCCUUUUGUUGUGGAAAUGAUUUUGAAAUCCGGGAACCAGAAAACUGUCACACUAUUUUCUUAAUCCUUACUGGGCAACACUUAGCUUCAAAUAGAGAAUUUAUUACGGUGGUUAUCUUGGAACUCUCUUGAGUUGCAAAACAGCUUCUUGGCUUAUUCUUUUGUCAGUUGGAGCUGUUUUUUUUUUCUUUCUUUCCCAGUCAUGUUGUAACCUCUUCGUCAUGUCAUUGUUAGUGUUAACUUGCACCUCUUUCUCCCUUUGAGAGGGGGUUUCCAUUCACCUGGGACACCACCCAGGAGUGACAGCUUGGAGAGUCACAAAA